UUGGACAAUGGGCAAAGCCUGAUCCAGCCAUGCCGCGUGUGUGAAGAAGGUCUUCGGAUUGUAAAGCACUUUAAGUUGGGAGUAAGGGCAGUUACCUAAUACGUGAAUUUGUUUUGACGUUACCGACAGAAUAAGCACCGGCUAACUCUGUGCCAGCAGCCGCGGUAAUACAGAGGGUGCAAGCGUUAAUCGGAAUUACUGGGCGUAAAGCGCGCGUAGGUGGUUAGUUAAGUUGGAUGUGAAAUCCCCGGGCUCAACCUGGGAACUGCAUUCAAAACUGACUGACUAGAGUAUGGUAGAGGGUGGUGGAAUUUCCUGUGUAGCGGUGAAAUGCGUAGAUAUAGGAAGGAACACCAGUGGCGAAGGCGACCACCUGGACUGAUACUGACACUGAGGGUCGCGAAAGCGUGGGGGAGCAAACAGGAUUAGAUACCCCUGGUAG
rnacentral:rRNA from 1 species